rnacentral:tRNA from 1 species
GCUCUUGUAGCUCAGCUGGUUAGAGCGCGGUGCUUAUAAGCAGGGAUCCUGUUAUACAUAUAGCAUGAAAGUGUUAAGAUACGCCGAGGCCGAGAGUUCGAUCCUCUCCAGGAGCA